GAAGAACCAUACAAACCUUAAGCACCUUCUAACCACACAACACAAGAACAAACAGUAGCAAUCUCUGCCAGCCAGCAGCGUACAUAGCAGUGCCACACAUCAUUCCUUCAGUACCCAAGGAUUUACCAAAAUAUGAUCUACCUUAAAAGGUGAAAGUGCUGGUGUUUAGCCAGAGCAUGAUAAAGCCCAGCUCGAGGACAGCAAAUAAGCAAGAGGCCAGACUGGUCUUCCACACAUUUGUAAUGCGUAUGAGGAUCAGUUGGAAAGAAAGGAGGCUUUUCAGAUUAAGAAAGACUAUCUACCUUGCUUAUGACUGCUGCAGAGAAAACGUCUUAACACCUAUCUUGCAUGGAUUCCUUGCUUCCACAUGCUGUUCUUUUUUUAAAAUGGCACGGAAGCAUAUUUCCUCAGGAAUUUGAGCAUUUCAAUGGCUUGGAGCAACCAGCAGAGAAAAGAGACAGAGAGAAGAGUGGGUGUGUCCAUCCAUAAACAUGCACGAAAAUAUUAGAGCCACACAAUGUCUUCUGCCUGAAAGAACAAAUCAGGCUUCUGUUUGCUCAUCAGCUGUAACAGAUUUGCCAGAAUGGAUCAUAUCUCCAGCUGGCAUAAAUUAGAGAGGCACUACUGGCUUCAGCAAAGCUACGCCGAGUAGCAACA